AGCGAACGCUGGCGGCAGGCUUAACACAUGCAAGUCGAGCGGGCAUAGCAAUAUGUCAGCGGCAGACGGGUGAGUAACGCGUGGGAACGUACCUUUUGGUUCGGAACAACUGAGGGAAACUUCAGCUAAUACCGGAUAAGCCCUUACGGGGAAAGAUUUAUCGCCGAAAGAUCGGCCCGCGUCUGAUUAGCUAGUUGGUGAGGUAAUGGCUCACCAAGGCGACGAUCAGUAGCUGGUCUGAGAGGAUGAUCAGCCACAUUGGGACUGAGACACGGCCCAAACUCCUACGGGAGGCAGCAGUGGGGAAUAUUGGACAAUGGGCGCAAGCCUGAUCCAGCCAUGCCGCGUGAGUGAUGAAGGCCCUAGGGUUGUAAAGCUCUUUUGUGCGGGAAGAUAAUGACGGUACCGCAAGAAUAAGCCCCGGCUAACUUCGUGCCAGCCGCCGCAGUAAAAC
rnacentral:rRNA from 1 species